rnacentral:rRNA from 1 species
CGCCUCGGUAGCGGGGGAGUAACUAUUGGAAACGAUAGCUAAUACCGCAUAAUAUUGAUUAUUGCAUGAUAAUUGAUUGAAAGAUGCAACUGCAUCACUACCAGAUGGACCUGCGUUGUAUUAGCUAGUAGGUGAGGUAACGGCUCACCUAGGCGACGAUACAUAGCCGACCUGAGAGGGUGAUCGGCCACACUGGGACUGAGACACGGCCCAG